ACGGGUGAGUAACACGUAAGGAACCUGCCUCAAGGAUUGGGGUAACUCCGAGAAAUCGGAGCUAAUACCGGAUAGUUCAACGGACCGCAUGGUCCGCUGAUGAAAGGCGCUCCGGCGUCACCUUGAGAUGGCCUUGCGGUGCAUUAGCUAGUUGGUGGGGUAACGGCCCACCAAGGCGACGAUGCAUAGCCGACCUGAGAGGGUGAUCGGCCACACUGGGACUGAGACACGGCCCAGACUCCUACGGGAGGCAGCAGUAGGGAAUCUUCCACAAUGGACGAAAGUCUGAUGGAGCAACGCCGCGUGAGUGAUGAAGGUUUUCGGAUCGUAAAACUCUGUUGUAAGGGAAGAACACGUACGAGAGGAAAUGCUCGUACCUUGACGGUACCUUACGAGAAAGCCACGGCUAACUACGUGCCAGCAGCCGCGGUAAUACGUAGGUGGCAAGCGUUGUCCGGAAUUAUUGGGCGUAAAGCGCGCGCAGGCGGCCUUUUAAGUCUGAUGUGAAAGCCCCCGGCUCAACCGGGGAGGGCCAUUGGAAACUGGAAGGCUUGAGUACAGAAGAGAAGA
rnacentral:rRNA from 1 species